UUUAUGGUUUUUAACUUUAAAAUGAUCAGGAAUACAAGUAGCUAAUGUUUCUAACAGUAUAGUUUUAAAUAUUUUUUCCCUAAAGAUGUUUUUGUUUGUGGUGAGGUCCCUUUUCUUCUCUUCCCAGCAUGCAUUGGGGCAUAAAUACUUAAUAUGGUAGCACUGCUUGACCUUUUGCUGGUUUUAUUUACAAUGAAGUCUUGUGGAUUUGGUCACAUUUAGAAAUCUGCUGUCUUGCCAUGUCUGGAAUGAGUUUAUUCCUCUAGGAUGGAUUUUGUUGGACACACCAAAGACGAUUAGUCAUUGGGCAAACUUCAGAGAUGGAAGUGACUGUUUCAUACUGCUAAAAAAAAACUUGACCCACCUGAAACCACUCAGUGGUGAUCGUUUUAUGAGGAUUAAUGGCAUGUUCUCUUGUGGGCCCAUCUUUGACCUCUGUGCUCUCCUAGAGUUUAAAACACUAGCCAUGAAAUGUGGUAGAGACGUGUGACACAUUAGGCCCACCAUGCUAGACCGUAGUGGGCAACAGUGUUACAGACACAAUACAAUACAUGAAAGCUAAAAGGAAACCUCUUGACUUUCUAGUCUUAGUUUUAAACAUGGCUUGAGUUGGGACUGAUUAUAGAAGUC
ensembl:lncRNA